rnacentral:rRNA from 1 species
AGAGUUUGAUCCUGGCUCAGGACGAACGCUGGCGGCGUGCCUAAUACAUGCAAGUCGAGCGAAUCAGAUGGGAGCUUGCUCCCGGAUGAUUAGCGGCGGACGGGUGAGUAACACGUGGGCAACCUGCCCGUAAGAUUGGGAUAACUCCGGGAAACCGGUGCUAAUACCGAAUAGUUUCUGACACCUCAUGGUGUCAGAGGGAAAGUUGGCUUUCGAGCUAACACUUACGGAUGGGCCCGCGGCGCAUUAGCUAGUUGGUGAGGUAACGGCUCACCAAGGCGACGAUGCGUAGCCGACCUGAGAGGGUGAUCGGCCACACUGGGACUGAGACACGGCCCAGACUCCUACGGGAGGCAGCAGUAGGGAAUCUUCCGCAAUGGACGAAAGUCUGAUGGAGCAACGCCGCGUGAGCGAAGAAGGCCUUCGGGUCGUAAAGCUCUGUUGUCAGGGAAGAACAAGUGCCAUUCGAAUAGGUUGGCACCUUGACGGUACCUGGCCAGAAAGCCACGGCUAACUACGUGCCAGCAGCCGCGGUAAUACGUAGGUGGCAAGCGUUGUCCGGAAUUAUUGGGCGUAAAGCGCGCGCAGGCGGUCCUUUAAGUCUGAUGUGAAAGCCCACGGCUCAACCGUGGAGGGUCAUUGGAAACUGGAGGACUUGAGUGCAGAAGAGGGAAGUGGAAUUCCAUGUGUAGCGGUGAAAUGCGUAGAGAUAUGGAGGAACACCAGUGGCGAAGGCGGCUUCCUGGUCUGUAACUGACACUGAGGCGCGGAAGCAUGGGGAGCGAACAGGAUUAGAUACCCUGGUAGUCCAUGCCGUAAACGUUGGGCACUAGGUGUGGGGGACAUUCCACGUUUUCCGCGCCGUAGCUAACGCAUUAAGUGCCCCGCCUGGGGAGUACGGCCGCAAGGCUAAAACUCAAAGGAAUUGACGGGGGCCCGCACAAGCGGCGGAGCAUGCGGAUUAAUUCGAUGCAACGCGAAGAACCUUACCAAGGCUUGACAUGAACCGGAAAGGCCUGGAAACAGGUCCCCCACUUGUGGCCGGUUUACAGGUGGUGCAUGGUUGUCGUCGGCUCGUGUCGUGAGAUGUUGGGUUAAGUCCCGCAACGAGCGCAACCCUCGUUCUAUGUUGCCAGCGGGUUAUGCCGGGGACUCAUAGGAGACUGCCGGGGUCAACUCGGAGGAAGGUGGGGACGACGUCAAAUCAUCAUGCCCCUUAUGUCUUGGGCUUCACGCAUGCUACAAUGGCCGGUACAAAGGGUUGCGAUACUGUGAGGUGGAGCUAAUCCCAAAAAGCCGGUCUCAGUUCGGAUUGAGGUCUGCAACUCGACCUCAUGAAGUUGGAGUCGCUAGUAAUCGCAGAUCAGCAACGCUGCGGUGAAUACGUUCCCGGGCCUUGCACUCACCGCCCGUCA